UGUCCUAUUAGCCUGUUGGUGGGGUAACGGCUCACCAAAGCAAUAAUGGGUAGCUGGUCUGAGAGGAUGAGCAGCCACACUGGGACUGAGACACUGCCCAGACUCCUACGGGAGGCUGCAGUCGAGAAUCUUUCGCAAUGGGGGAAACCCUGACGAAGCGACGCCGCGUGGAGGAUGAAGGCCCUCGGGUUGUAAACUCCUGUCACUUGGGAUGAAAAGUGGGGCCAUUAAUACCGGUUCUGCCUGACAGUACCUUGAAAGGAAGCUCCGGCUAACUACGUGCCAGCAGCCGCGGUAAUACGUAGGGAGCAAGCGUUGUUCGGAUUUACUGGGCGUAAAGGGUGUGUAGGUUGCUUGGUAAGUCAGUUGUGAAAUCCCUUACUGCUCAACAGAAGAAUUGCAAUUGAUACUACCAGGCUAGAGUACGGUAGAGGAGAGCGGAAUUCUCGGUGUAGCGGUGAAAUGCGUAGAUAUCGAGGAAGACAACAGGUGGCGUAGGCGGGUCUCUAGCCCGAUACUGACACUGAAACACGAAAGCGUGGGUAGCGAACGGUGAUAAAUACCCCGGGUAGUCCACGCCGGAAAACGAUGGGUACUAGGUGCAGGUGGUAUCGAUCCCUUCUGUGCCGUAGCUAACGCGUUAAGUACCCCGCCUGGGGAGUACGGCCGCAAGGCUUAUACUCUAAGGAAUAGACGGGGGCCCGCACAAGCGGUGGAGCAUGUGGCUUAAUACGACGCUACGCGUAGAACCUUUACCAGGGCUUGACAUGCUGGUGGUACUGGCUCCGAAAGGAGACAGGACCCUUCGGGGAGCCAACACAGAUGUUGCACGGCUGUCGUCAGCUCGUGUCGUGAGAUGUUGGGUUAAGUCCCGCAACGAGCGCAACCCUUG
rnacentral:rRNA from 1 species